rnacentral:rRNA from 1 species
CCUACGGGAGGCAGCAGUGGGGAAUAUUGCACAAUGGGGGAAACCCUGAUGCUGCGACGCCGCGUGCGUGAAGAAGUAUUUCGGUACGUAAAGCUCUAUCAGCAGGGAAGAAAAUGACGGUACCUGACUAAUAAGCCCCGGCUAACUACGUGCCAGCAGCCGCGGUAAUACGUAGGGGGCAAGCGUUAUCCGGAUUUACUGGGUGUAAAGGGAGCGUAGACGGCAGCGCAGGUCUGGAGUGAAAUCCCUGGGCAUAACCAUGGAACUGCUUUGGAAACUGUGCAGCUAGAGUGCAGGAGAGGUAAGCGGAAUUCCUAGUGUAGCGGUGAAAUGCGUAGAUAUUAGGAGGAACACCAGUGGCGAAGGCGGCUUACUGGACUGUAACUGACGUUGAGGCUCGAAAGCGUGGGGAGCAAACAGGAUUAGAUACCCUGGUAGUC